AUUUUGUUUGCAUUUUGAUAGUUAUUAAAUUAAUUUCUCCCACUUGCAUUGUACUUUAAUAAAAUGAAAGUGAAGACUGCAAUUCUUGCUUUAGGUUAACUUCAGAAGUAAAACUUGUAGAUACUUUACACACAAUGGAAUUUCAUGUUUUAAUUUUAGCUACAAUUUCAUAGUUAUAGAAUGAACAUUUUGAAUCCAAAUAUUGUAACUCGUGUGCUAGUCAGGUGGGUAGAGUUGUACUCAAGUAGCAGUACAACAUAUU